UAGGUUUUCUCGAUAAGAAAUGGGCAAUAAGUUUAUAUAUAUUAAUGUAAAAAAAUUAUUUUUAAUAGAUUUAUUGAAAUGAAAUGUUAUUCGUAUUUUUUUAUAUCUAGUUUUUUAAGAAAUAAAUUGAAUUUACUUAUUAAUAUUUAAUUAUUUUAAAUUAUUAAUUGAUUAAUAUUUAAUGGGUUAUUCUGUUGGGGAUAAGCUUGGCAGAAAAGGUUUAAUUGAGUUAUUAUUAAAUAUUUAGUGGGAAUAGAAGUUUCUAUCUAUUAUUAAUGUGUUAUUACAAAUUAUUUAUAUGAUAAGAUUUAUAUAUCAUUUAAUUAUUUUAUUAGAAUAGUUAAUAUAAUUUAGGAUUUAGUGAAAUAAUGAUUAAAUUAGUAUAUAAAUUAGUUAGAAUAUUUAAUAAGAUAGGUAUAAUGAAAGGAAUUCGGCAAAUAGAUUUUCGCCUGUUUAUUAAAAACAUGGUUUUUUGAUUAUGAUUUAAGAUUUGACCUGCCCAAUGAGGAGUUGAAUGGCUGCAGUAUUUUGACUGUACAAAGGUAGCAUAAUAAUUAGUUUUUUAAUUGGGAACUAGAAUGAAGGGUUGGACGAGAAAUUGACUGUCUCUAUUAUAAUUUAGUAAAAUUUUAUUUUUAAGUAAAAAAGCUUGAAUGAAUUUAAAAGACGAGAAGACCCUAUAGAACUUUAUAAAUUUUAUAUUAAUAUGGAUAUUAGGAAUUAAUUUUAUUGAUAUGAAAAGUAUUAUGUUGGGGCGAUAGAAAAAUUAAUUAAACUUUUUUAUGUUAAUUAUACUAAUGAGUAUUUAUUUGAUCCAUAAGUUAUGAUUAUUAGAUUAAGUUACCUUAGGGAUAACAGCGUAAUCUUUUUUGAGAGUUCUUAUUGAAAGAAAGGGUUGCGACCUCGAUGUUGGAUUAAAUUUAAUUGUAGGUGAAGAAGCUUAAUGAUUUGGUCUGUUCGA
rnacentral:rRNA from 1 species